rnacentral:rRNA from 1 species
AACGAACGCUGGCGGCAGGCCUAACACAUGCAAGUCGAGCGCCCAGCAAUGGGAGCGGCAGACGGGUGAGUAACGCGUGGGAACCUUCCUGAUAGUACGGAAUAGCCCAGGGAAACUUGGAGUAAUACCGUAUACGCCCGCAAGGGGAAAGAUUUAUCGCUGUCAGAUGGGCCCGCGUAGGAUUAGCUAGUUGGUGAGGUAACGGCUCACCAAGGCGACGAUCCUUAGCUGGUUUGAGAGAAUGACCAGCCACACUGGGACUGAGACACGGCCCAGACUCCUACGGGAGGCAGCAGUGGGGAAUCUUGGACAAUGGGCGCAAGCCUGAUCCAGCCAUGCCGCGUGAGUGACGAAGGUCUUCGGAUUGUAAAGCUCUUUUGCCAGGGACGAUAAUGACGGUACCUGGAGAAUAAGCCCCGGCUAACUUCGUGCCAGCAGCCGCGGUAAGCUCGUCUCUA